CCUACGGGUGGCAGCAGUGAGGAAUAUUGGUCAAUGGGCGUAAGCCUGAACCAGCCAAGUCGCGUGAGGGAUGAAGGUUCUAUGUAUGGUAAACCCCUUUUAUAAGGGAAUAAAGUGUGGGACGCGUACUAUUUUGUAUGUACCUUAUGAAUAAGGAUCGGCUAACUCCGUGCCAGCAGCCGCGGUAAUACGGAGGAUCCGAGCUUUAUCCGGAUUUAUUGGGUUUAAAGGGUGCGGAGGCGGCCUUGUAAGUCAGACGGGAAAGUCUGUGGCUCAACCAUAGAAUUGCCGUUGAAACUGGGGGGCUUGAGUAUGUUUGGGGCAGGCGGAAUGCGUGGUGUAGCGGUGAAAUGCUUAGAUAUCACGCGGAACCCCGAUGGCGAAGGCAGCCUGCCAAGCCAUGACUGACGCUGAGGCACGAAAGCGUGGGGAUCAAACAGGAUUAGAUACCCGAGUAGUC
rnacentral:rRNA from 1 species